CUGACGGCCGCCCCCGGGGACAGAGCCCGCUCGGGGAGAGCCGCCCCCGGGACAGUCUUCCCCGGGACAGCCUUCCCAGGGACAGCGUGCCAGGGCAGCAACAUCCGCUCCCGCCCUCGCCCAGCUCGGCGGCCGCCGUGGUGCUGGUGGGCGGGGCGUGACGAGAGCACCGCCGGCUGCCCGCCCCUCACGCAGCGCCGGCUCCCCGCCCGCACGGCCGUGCCCGCCCCUCUUCGCCUCCUGUGACCGCUGUUUACCGGCACUGCUCGUCUGGGGAGGAGAAGGCUCGUUAUUCGCUCCCCGGUGGCUGUCGCCACCUCGGCAAUUACCGUCACAGCGCCCCGGGGGACGGGGCAGUGCCGGGUACCGGAGACCUCUGCCGGGGUGGUCCUGCCCGCGGGGAGUCGGGGUGGCCCUGAGGUGCUCACAGGGCACCGAGGAGGAGAGAGAGGCUCGUUACCAGAGUCACAGAAUCACUUAAUUCCAGCCACCAUGUCAGCUGAACCAUAGGACUCAGUGCCACGUCCAGUCUUGCCUCCUGGGAUGGUCACUCUGCCACCUCCCUGGGCAGCCCAUUCCAGUGUCUAAUCACUCUUUCUGUGAAGAAAUUCUUCCUAGUGUCCAAUGUCCUAAUGUUACGCAGGUGCAUGUCCCCUUCCACACAGAUCAGGGGCGCAGAGGGCAGAGAGGUUUCUGUCACCCCAGGGGUGGGGAGCACAUCCUCCUGCUCCGAUUCCAGCCUCAUGUACUGAAGCGCAGCACAGGCAGAGAUGGCAAAUUCAUGCAGCCCAGUGGGGAGUUUCAUUAUGUGUGCAAGUGUCGCCCGUCUGUCUCCUUGCCCCAGACCCAGCAGCCUGGAAGACUGUGGCGAUUAAAGAACAGAAGAAAGCAUAACAGUGAAAGAGCAAAGACUUGAAAGGAAAAAAGAUUUCUGAUCACUUUUGUUUUAACAUGAGGAUAAUUCAAAUAUGUUGAAGAUCGAAUGAUUCCUGUUACACAUUCAAUACUUCUGAUUCAGCUAGAGGUGGCUGCUGUCAAUACGUGUCUGUCAAAACCCCAAAGAUCUUCCAAGAAAAUCAAUAAAAAUCCAAUUUUACAAUCUU